rnacentral:rRNA from 1 species
CAGAGUGGACUUACCGCUGGUGUACCAGUUGUCUUGCCAAAGGCAUCGCUGGGUAGCUAUGUAGGGAAGGGAUAAACGCUGAAAG